GACGAACGCUGGCGGCGUGCCUAAUACAUGCAAGUCGAGCGGAACUUGUGAAAAGCUUGCUUUUCAUUUGUUUAGCGGCGGACGGGUGAGUAACACGUGGGCAACCUGCCUGUAAGACUGGGAUAACUUCGGGAAACCGAAGCUAAUACCGGAUACGACUUUCUCUUGCAUGAGAGGAAGAGGAAAGACUGAGAGUCGCUUACAGAUGGGCCCGCGGCGCAUUAGCUAGUUGGUGAGGUAACGGCCCACCAAGGCUUUGAUGGCUAGCUGGUCGGUAGGGAAGACAAGCCACACUGGGGCUGGAACACGGCCCAGACUCCUACGGGAGGCAGCAGUGAGGGAUAUUGGGCAAUGGGCGAAAGCCUGACGCAGCGACGCCGCGUGGGUGAUGAAGGCCUUCGGGUCGUAAAGCCCUGUCGAGGGGGACGAAACGGGUCAGACCUAACACGUCGGGCCCCUGACGGUACCCCUAAAGGAAGCACCGGCUAACUCCGUGCCAGCAGCCGCAGUAAUAC
rnacentral:rRNA from 1 species